GCCCUGGUGGUCUAAUGGUUAAGAUUCUGCAUUCUCACUGCCAUGGCCCAGGUUCAUUUCCUGGUCAAGGAA
rnacentral:tRNA from 1 species